UAAUAUUGAUUAUUGCAUGAUAAUUGAUUGAAAGAUGCUAUUGCAUCACUACCAGAUGGACCUGCGUUGUAUUAGCUAGUAGGUGAGGUAACGGCUCACCUAGGCGACGAUACAUAGCCGACCUGAGAGGGUGAUCGGCCACACUGGGACUGAGACACGGCCCAGACUCCUACGGGAGGCAGCAGUAGGGAAUCUUCGGCAAUGGACGAAAGUCUGACCGAGCAACGCCGCGUGAGUGAAGAAGGUUUUCGGAUCGUAAAGCUCUGUUGUAAGAGAAGAACGGGUGUGAGAGUGGAAAGUUCACACUGUGACGGUAUCUUACCAGAAAGGGACGGCUAACUACGUGCCAGCAGCCGCGGUAAUACGUAGGUCCCGAGCGUUGUCCGGAUUUAUUGGGCGUAAAGCGAGCGCAGGCGGUUAGAUAAGUCUGAAGUUAAAGGCUGUGGCUUAACCAUAGUACGCUUUGGAAACUGUUUAACUUGAGUGCAGAAGGGGAGAGUGGAAUUCCAUGUGUAGCGGUGAAAUGCGUAGAUAUAUGGAGGAACACCGGUGGCGAAAGCGGCUCUCUGGUCUGUAACUGACGCUGAGGCUCGAAAGCGUGGGGAGCGAACAGGAUUAGAUACCCUGGUAGUCCACGCCGUAAACGAUGAGUGCUAGGUGUUAGGCCCUUUCCGGGGCUUAGUGCCGCAGCUAACGCAUUAAGCACUCCGCCUGGGGAGUACGACCGCAAGGUUGAAACUCAAAGGAAUUGACGGGGGCCCGCACAAGCGGUGGAGCAUGUGGUUUAAUUCGAAGCAACGCGAAGAACCUUACCAGGUCUUGACAUCCCGAUGCCCGCUCUAGAGAUAGAGUUUUACUUCGGUACAUCGGUGACAGGUGGUGCAUGGUUGUCGUCAGCUCGUGUCGUGAGAUGUUGGGUUAAGUCCCGCAACGAGCGCAACCCUUAUUGUUAGUUGCCAUCAUUCAGUUGGGCACUCUAGCGAGACUGCCGGUAAUAAACCGGAGGAAGGUGGGGAUGACGUCAAAUCAUCAUGCCCCUUAUGACCUGGGCUACACACGUGCUACAAUGGCUGGUACAACGAGUCGCAAGUCGGUGACGGCAAGCUAAUCUCUUAAAGCCAGUCUCAGUUCGGAUUGUAGGCUGCAACUCGCCUACAUGAAGUCGGAAUCGCUAGUAAUCGCGGAUCAGCACGCCGCGGUGAAUACGUUCCCGGGCCUUGCACUCACCGCCCGUCA
rnacentral:rRNA from 1 species